rnacentral:rRNA from 1 species
AAGGUGCUGCAUGGUUGUCGUCAGCUCGUGCCGUGAGGUGUCGGGUUAAGUCCCAUAACGAGCGCAACCCUACCGUUAGUUACCAUCAGGUUAAGCUGGGGACGUCUAGCGGGACUGCCACCGUAAGGUGAGAGGAAGGUGGGGAUGACGUCAAAUCAGCACGGCCCUUAUGUCCAGGGCUACACACGUGUUACAAUGGCCGGUACAAAGGGCAGCUACUUCGCGAGAAGAUGCUAAUCUCGAAAGCCGGUCUCAGUUCGGAUCGAAGUCUGCAACCCGACUUCGUGAAGCUGGAUUCGCUAGUAAUCGCGCAUCAGCCAUGGCGCGGUGAAUACGUUCCCGGGCCUU